rnacentral:rRNA from 1 species
UACAGGGGGUGCAAACGUUGCUCGGAAUCAUUGGGCGUAAAGAGCGCGCAGGCGGCUUGGCAAGUCGGGUGUGAAAUCCCGGGGCUCAACCCCGGGACUGCAUUCGAUACUGUCAGGCUAGAGGUAGGUAGGGGAGAUCGGAAUUCCUGGUGUAGCGGUGAAAUGCGCAGAUAUCAGGAGGAACACCGGUGGCGAAGGCGGAUCUCUGGGCCUUACCUGACGCUCAGGCGCGAAAGCUAGGGGAGCGAACAGG